CCUACGGGAGGCAGCAGUGAGGAAUAUUGGUCAAUGGCCGGAAGGCUGAACCAGCCAUGCCGCGUGAAGGUCAGUGCCCUAUGGGCGUUAAACUUCUUUUGUGCGGGAGCAAUAAUGGUCACGUGUGGCCAGACGAGAGUACCGUACGAAUAAGCAUCGGCUAACUCCGUGCCAGCAGCCGCGGUAAUACGGGGGAUGCAAGCGUUAUCCGGAUUUAUUGGGGUUAAAGGGUGCGUAAGCUGUGAGGUAAGUCAGCGGUGAAAUGCCCCCGCUCAACGGGGUGGAGUGCCAUUGAUACUGGCUUGCUGGAGUGCGGAUGCCGUGGGAGGAAUGUGUGGUGUAGCGGUGAAAUGCAUAGAUAUCACACAGAACACCGAUUGCGAAGGCAUCUCACGAAUCCGCGAUUGACGCUGAUGCACGAAAGCGUGGGUAUCAAACAGGAUUAGAUACCCCAGUAGUC
rnacentral:rRNA from 1 species